rnacentral:rRNA from 1 species
UCCGUAGGUGAACCUGCGGAGGGAUCAUUACCGAGUUAUCCAACUCCCAACCCCUGUGAAUUAUACCUUUAAUUGUUGCUUCGGCGGGACUUCGCGCCCGCCGGGGACCCAAACCUUCUGAAUUUUUAAUAAGUGUCUUCUGAGUGGUUAAAAAAAAAUGAAUCAAAACUUUCAACAACGGAUCUCUUGGUUCUGGCAUCGAUGAAGAACGCAGCGAAAUGCGAUAAGUAAUGUGAAUUGCAGAAUUCAGUGAAUCAUCGAAUCUUUGAACGCACAUUGCGCCCGUCAGUAUUCUGGCGGGCAUGCCUGUUCGAGCGUCAUUACGCCCCUCAAGUCCCCUGUGGACUUGGUGUUGGGGAUCGGCGAGGCUGGUUUUCCAGCACAGCCGUCCCUUAAAUUAAUUGGCGGUCUCGCCGUGGCCCUCCUCUGCGCAGUAGUAAAACACUCGCAACAGGAGCCCGGCGCGGUCCACUGCCGUAAAACCCCCCCAACUUUUUAUAGUUGACCUCGAAUCAGGUAGGACUACCCGCUGAACUUAAGCAUAUCAAUAAGCGGAGGAUAAG